ACGGGUGUGGCCCUAAAAAGACAAAAGACAAAAAAAAAAAAAAUUACACAGACGUGGAGGGUGUGUGCUCUGCAUUUGGGACCACGAGAGGAGGUGUUCUCUUCAAACUCAGGCCCUGAACAGUGUUAAAGUUGUGCUGUAGCCACAGGAACUGUCCCGGGAGGACCAGGUCCCCAAACCAGCGCCCCCCCUGGCUUUUUUUUUCUGAAUGUGGACUUUGUCCUUGCUUGAAAUUCCCCACCUGGAGGCCAUCUGUGCCUCUCUCAAGGCUCAGUAAAUGCCUCUUCCUCUUGGAAGCUUUUGCUGACUCUGGGAAACAUUAGACAGUCCAGCCACCGUGUGCCUUACACAUUCCUGACACGUCAUACGUCCUUGUAAAAUAUUCAUUGGGUAUCUGGUAAAUAAAUGUAACAGCACAUUAGUCUGUAACUUUUUGUACGCGUGUAACCCAUCUCCAGAGUCUGAGCUCCUUGAAAGCAGUGCGUGAUCUGCAGCUCUUUUAGAAUAUUUGUUAAAUGAAAUGCUUGAGGUUAAGGCAUCGGGGCUGAGACAGCAGAAACCUAGGAGGUGACGCUUCAGUCUAAACAGAGGUCAAGUCACGGAAGGCCUUAAAUGCUGUUUGAAGGAGUCUGCACUCCCUUGGCACCCCAGCAACAUCAGUAGCCUAAGUGACUUCUGGAAGCUUCACCAUUUCAUCUCCUAGAUUCUGGCUUCCCUCCUGAUAACUAGAGGAGGCUCCAUGGAUUUUAUGCAAAUUUGUGAACCUCUGCACCGGAACCUUUAAGAUCCAUCUACCGAAACGAAUUACACCCUUUCAAUGGAGCAGCGGAUGCCUGUCUGCCGUGAGCUGCAUGAUACAAGAGGCCAUGCAAAGGCUUCUAGAAGACCUGCUCCAAGAUGACGUGCUGCCUCCACCAUUUGGUCCCUGCUGUGCUCCUCCAGGGCCUUGCCAGCCUGGGAGAGAGGAGGUGUGACGGGUAACUGGCAUGGCCCUGCCAGGGGAGCUGCAGCUAACAGGGAACCAGGGGCCUCUUGCCGGCAGCUGCCCUUGAAGGCUGGGCCAGAUGCCAGACCUCACCAACCAAGUCACAGGCACCGUCCAGGUGUUCCUGCUGAUGUACCCGGAUUUAAAUCCCCCACCUCCGGGGGUGGGGGCACUCGACAGCAAGCCCCCUUGUGUGACUCUUUCUUCCAAAGCAAAUUCAAGGUGCUGUUUCUGGGAGGUGGAAGAUGACUCAAUAAACAGCACCCCUCUCUCUCUCAUCCCUUACUUGUGUCAACCAACUAAAAAAGAAGAGCGGUAGCAUAAAGAACCCACAACAUCACUUAUUUCAUUUCUGGUGAGGCCGAUGAAGCAUGUGACUUAUGUUAAUGGACAAGCAGAACUCCUGUUGCCAAACCCCAGAGUAAGACUUGCCCACUCAGUCAUGGAAAGACCUGAGUCAUUGCAGCCUCCUCACCUGGCAGCCUGUCCUUAUGGAGUAGAAUGACUGUCCUUUACUGGAUGUUUGCACCCAAGGAAAGAAAGAAAGAUGGGGCCAGGCUCCUUAUUCCUAGAUCACUUGUCAGAAUAAUCACUUCUACUCCACCAGGGAACACCUGUUCUCACACAGCCCCUCUGACUUGCCUCAUGCAAUCCCAGCCCUAUGAAAUCCUGUCUUUAGUUAAAAUUUUGGUAUUUUUUUAUCACAAGUUUUUUCAUUAACUAUACAUUUUCUGAAUAUUGCAUUAAGAUAUUAUUCCUCUUGAUUCCUAAGGUUUUUAGCUCCCCCUUAAGUUUUACACCUGAAAGAAAUGACUUACCCACCUCACCCUAGGCUCAGACCUGGUUUUAAAAUAAAUGUGUAAAGUAAUAAAUUAGUAAACAACUUUUUCUUAAUUAAA